rnacentral:rRNA from 1 species
AACGAACGCUGGCGGCAGGCCUAACACAUGCAAGUCGAGCGCACCCUUCGGGGUGAGCGGCGGACGGGUUAGUAACGCGUGGGAACGUGCCCAGAUCUACGGAAUAGCCACUGGAAACGGUGAGUAAUACCGCAUACGCCCUUCGGGGAAAGAUUUAUCGGAGAAGGAUCGGCCCGCGUUAGAUUAGAUAGUUGGUGGGGUAAUGGCCUACCAAGUCUACGAUCUAUAGCUGGUUUGAGAGGAUGAUCAGCAACACUGGGACUGAGACACGGCCCAGACUCCUACGGGAGGCAGCAGUGGGGAAUCUUAGACAAUGGGCGCAAGCCUGAUCUAGCCAUGCCGCGUGAGUGAUGAAGGCCCUAGGGUCGUAAGCUCUUUCGCCUGUGAAGAUAAUGACUGUAGCAGGUAAAGAAACCCCGGCU